rnacentral:lncRNA from 1 species
GGAAUUUACCAUUAAUUAAAUACACAUGAUAUUAAAUGUAUAAAGUUGAUUUGAACAUUUAUCAGUAUUACUAUUACAAUAGAUUUUCUUACCAGUCAGUCGAAAGGGCAUCAUUUACUUUUCAAUUGACAUUCUUUUUCUAAAAAUGUUGACGACAUGAUUGGCAAAUGCACAACCAGUCCUCACUAGGGGUAAAUUAAAUGUUGCCUAAAUACAAAUUCAUAUUGUCGAAUUAUUGAUUUGCAAGCCAAUAUAACACCAAUAAUGAUUUUAGCUUAUUUCAUCAAAAUUAAAUCAAAAUGAUUGUUAAAAGCAAAAUAUAAUUUCUACAUUCUGCUUUUAUAAAUGUUUGAAACAAAUAAAAAUCAUGUUGUCUAAUUUGUAGCAAUUGCCCC